AUGAAUUCUUGAGUUAAUUUGAAUCGAUUAUUAUGUUUUUAUCAAAACGAUGUUUUUUGUUUUUUACAUUUCUUAGUGUUUGAUGCGGUCAGAUCUAUUGAGUUUGAUCAGGAUCAAUGUAGAUUGGCUUGAAAAAAUGUUGGAUCAUCAUGGCUAAUCAUAAUUAACUAGCCCAUCAUUUGUAAUUAUAAUAACAGUAAAUGGACCUGCAAUUUCCUGAGAUUAUACUGUAAUUAGCUAUCUAAAGUGGAAUUUGGUGCCUUUUGUAGAGAAUGAUUUGAAAGGGAAGCUAGGAGAGCCUGCAUAUUUGGAAGAAUGGAUUACCACCAUCACUUCCUUAACCGCCGGCGAGUCGGCUUUCAAGGUCACCUUUGACUGGGAUGAGGAGAUUGGAGUUCCAGGGGCAUUUCUGAUAAGAAACAAUCAUCACAGUGAAUUCUACCUCAAGACUGUCACACUUGAAGAUGUUCCUGGCCAAGGCCGAGUCCACUUUGUUUGCAACUCGUGGAUUUAUCCUACGAGGCGUUACAAUUAUGAUCGUGUUUUCUUCACUAACCAGGUAAUUAUGCAACCAUAGAAAGCUGAAGGUAGUUGUAAAUGUUUUCCUGAUCUAACAAAUCCUGAUACAUUUGUAUAGAAUUAUCUGCCGCACGAGACACCUGCACCGCUACGUAAAUACAGGGAAGAAGAACUGGUUAAAUUGAGAGGAGAUGGAAAAGGAGAGCUUAAGGAAUGGGACCGCGUUUACGACUAUGCUUACUACAAUGAUUUGGGAGAUCCUGACAAGGGUGCAAAGUAUGCCCGCCCAGUUCUUGGUGGAUCUUCUGAGUACCCUUAUCCUCGUAGGGGCAGAACUGGCCGAGCACCAGCAAAAUCAGGUCUUUACCUGUUGAGCGUCAUCUCGCAUUCAUGUUAUCAUCAAUGGUUUGUGAUUUUAUUUUUUGUUCACACUCUUACAAUUUCCGUGAUCUAAACAGAUCCCAACACUGAGAGCAGGCUGCCACUUCUCAUGAGCUUAAACAUAUAUGUUCCAAGAGAUGAACGAUUCGGUCACCUGAAGUUGGCUGACUUCCUUGCUUAUGCACUGAAAUCCGUCGCUCAAUUUAUUAAGCCUGAACUGGAAGCUUUACGUGACAGCACCCCUAAUGAGUUUGACUCCUUUGCUGAUGUACUGGAUCUCUAUGAGGGAGGGUUUAAGCUGCCUGAUGGUCCCCUACUAGAAAAUCUUAAGAAAAACAUUCCCGUGGAGAUGCUCAAGGAAAUUAUUCGAACUGAUGGAGAAGGCCUUUUCAGAUUUCCAAAGCCUCAAGUGAUUCAAGGUUUGAACUAAGGCAUUUAACUCUAUGCUUGUGCUGUUCUUAGACUGUCACUUUCUCGUUUUCAGCAACUUAAUUGUGAUCUAUUAAUUAUACAGAGAGCAAUUCUGCUUGGAGGACGGAUGAAGAAUUCGGUAGAGAAAUGCUGUCUGGAGUAAACCCUGUUCUCAUCCGUCGUCUUGAGGUACACUGAAGCUGCAACAAGUUUUUCUUUCUGCAAAAUUUAUAUUUUUUGUUUUUCUUGUGUCUAAGAACAAAUUAUUGCAGGAAUUCCCUCCCAAAAGCAAGCUAGACAGCAAACUUUAUGGUGAUCAAAACAGCACCAUAACUGAGGAGCACAUCAAGGAUAGUCUGGAUGGACUGUCCAUAGAUGAGGUAAGCUAUCUCUCGAUUGGUUUCUUCGACAAUUAUGUUUAGAAUCGGAUCUGUGAACGCUUCACGGAUGUAAUUGAUGAAUUUAAUCUUCCCAAAAGACAUGUUGUAGCUGACACACUUUGCUUCUGAAUAGGCGAUCGAGAAGAACAGGAUGUUCAUAUUAGAUCACCAUGAUGCAUUGAUGCCAUACCUGAGGAGGAUAAACACUACUACCACGAAGACUUAUGCAUCAAGGACUCUGCUUUUCUUGAAAGAUGACGGGACUUUGAAGCCUCUUGUAAUUGAGUUAAGCUUGCCCCAUGAAGAAGGAGAUGAAUUUGGAGCCAUUAGCAAAGUCUACACCCCAGCUGAACAUGGCGUUGAAGGCUCCAUUUGGGAUCUGGCUAAAGCUUAUGUGGCUGUUAACGACUCCGGUUACCAUCAGCUUAUUAGCCAUUUCUUGAACACUCAUGCUGUGAGUGAGCCAUUUGUGAUUGCAACAAAUAGACAACUCAGCGUGCUUCACCCAAUCUAUAAACUUUUGGAACCUCACUUCCGUGACACAAUGAACAUCAAUGCGCUCGCUAGGCAGACGCUCAUCAAUGCUGGUGGAAUCCUGGAAUCAACGGUUUAUCCUGCAAAGUAUGCCAUGGAAAUGUCAUCAGUAAUUUACAAAAACUGGAAUUUCACAGAGCAAGCACUUCCUGAAGACCUGAAGAAGAGGUAAACCUUAGUUUACUCAUAAAGGCUAAUUCAUAGUUGUUCAUAAUUAAUUUGCUAGAAUCUUAGAACUUGAAAUUAAAAAAACCACAGAGAAAUGCGUUGGGAACUUAGACUAUGGUUAAUUCUGUGAUGAUGCUGUAUUUCAUUUCAAUGACAUGUGCUACCUUGUUUACUCAGAGGAGUGGCAGUGGAGGAUCCAAAGUCUCCACAUGGUGUUCGCCUACUGAUAGAAGACUAUCCAUACGCUGUUGAUGGGCUAGAGAUAUGGUCAGCAAUCAAAGAAUGGGUCAGAGACUACUGCUUUUUCUACUACAAGAAUGAUGAGAUGAUUCAAAAGGAUUCUGAACUACAAUCAUGGUGGAAGGAAGUGAGAGAGGAAGGGCAUGGUGACCUGAAAGAUGCACCCUGGUGGCCUAAGAUGCUGACUCGUGAAGAGCUAAUAGACUCAUGCACCAUAAUCAUAUGGGUGGCAUCAGCUCUCCAUGCAGCUGUCAAUUUUGGUCAGUACCCUUAUGCAGGCUACCUUCCCAAUCGUCCAACCGUAAGCCGAAGGUUCAUGCCCGAGGAAGGCUCUCCUGAAUAUGAGGAGCUCAAGUCGAACCCUGAUAAGGCUUUCUUGAAAACAAUCACUGCACAGUUGCAAACACUUCUUGGAAUUUCCCUCAUAGAAAUUCUGUCAAGGCAUUCCUCAGAUGAGGUGUAUCUUGGACAGAGAGACACUCAUGAAUGGACAGCAGACAAGAAACCAUUAGAGGCGUUUGAGAAAUUUGGAAAGAAACUGGCAGAAAUCGAGGACAAAAUGCUAGACAUGAACAAAGCUGGGAAAUGGAAGAAUCGGGUCGGUCCAGUCGAGGUGCCAUACACUUUGUUGGUUCCUACCAGUGAAGGUGGACUCACUGGAAGGGGAAUUCCUAACAGCGUCUCAAUCUAAAUCUUCUCCAUAAGACUAUUUAUUCUAUUCUUACUCAUUUGUCGGUAUGAAAGCAGUACCUGAUUCUUGUUAGCAUCCAAGGCACAUAUGUCCUGAUGUAAUAAACUCCAUAAAUAAUGCAGAAUAAAAGUUGUUCCUUUUUGUCAUUUGAUUGGAGUUGAAUUCACUUAAACAAUAACAUCGUACUUGCUGAUGGGCUAAUUAGCUGACCAAGCAGAGUUUAAAGAGAACUUCCAUUUCUUGAUUUAAGCGCUCAAAAUGCUGACACAUUUUUCUCUUCCUAAGGCCGGAACUACAAUUAUAAGUGGAUAAUUUUCGUUGUGAUGAUGAAAACUUGUCCUUGUUACUGUUCUAACAUUUUUCCAUAGCUUAACCUGUUAGCUAGACUCCAUUGCAAAAGAGACUCUUGAAAUCAGAUCCCCCCUCCUUUAACUUGUUGAAUGAUGCAUGAAAUGCAUGGACAAUUGUUCUCUUCAUAAAGCCUUGUAAGGCCUGCUUGCAUUUUUAUCAGCAGAAGCAGAAGGUACUGAACAACAUACCUUUACUCUAUUGUAAAUGUUCUGACCAAGUACAUCCCAGUCCUUUCCCUGCCAGGCUAACCUGGGGAAGGGAUAAAUAUUACAGUCUGAGCUUCCUAUCACAUUAACUUACUCCUGAGGAAGCGUUUCAGGUGUGCUUGUAUUUUUUUCAAGAAGCAGCUACUUCCGAGUUGCUUUCUAUGCUAUUAAUUUGCUCUUGAUAAGAACCAACAUUUCCUUAUUACUGUACUUAUCACCUAGGUAGGGCUAACAGGAGCUAGACGUAUAUUUUCUUUACGUUCAAUUCAUCAUUUACAAAAGUAAAUAUUAAUUUUAUUUCCUGCAACAUAAGCGAGUUGCUAAACCAGAUUCAAAAGUUCUAAUGUUGACUCAAAAGACAAAUUUGUAAAAAACUUUCUUCAGCAUCAUACUUUUUAAUGGAGUUCUCCCUCUCCCUUUCUACUUUGUAAGUUGUGAACGGAUUUUUGUGUGUGAGAGCACAUUCAUUAAGGAAACCAUUGAUCCUUUUUUAAUGUAGUAAAUAGUCUUCUACAUAUUAAUUUUGUACUUUCCUCUAACUUCCUUAAUCUGACGAGGUUGAUACAAGCCUAUCUCAAGUCAGUUUUGUUUUCUAUAUAUAAUUAACUCCGCCAAUCCAUGACCCGAGCUUCGGGCUUAAUGUGAUGAUAACUAGGCAUAAAAGAAGUAAAUAAUGGCCGGUAAGUCUUAGUCUACUCACAAAUUAAAGUCUGAUUCGGAGCUGUGUGAACCUCCUCUGUCUUAAUUUGUCCUUGAUUGCUUCCUUCAUUAAUUGUCUCAAUGCAGGGUCUUCAAACCAAAUUGAAUUUGAUAUGAUGAAAAUUAUCAUAAUUGAUAUCUUCAAAAUAAAAAAAUAAAAAAGCACAUGUCAUACAUGUGGACUUGUAAGUACCUGUCCUUGUAAGUAGUAGGCCAGUCUUCACAAGUCCAGUAAAAAGACUAGCAACAGUGCAAAUUCAAUAUGAAAGAGAGACUUUAACAAAACUCAUCUUUUUUCCAAGGAAAUGCAAUGUGGCAAGUGAAGCUUCUCAGUCUUUACCACGUACAUAUUCCCUCUCUAUAAAGACCUUCUCCACUCACCUUAGUUGGCAUCACAAGCCUAGCUUUAGUAGAUUCUUUUUGUAGCCCAAGAAGAGAGCAACCAGGCAAGAGGGAAAGAAAUGUUUCAGAACAUCGUUAAUGCUAUCGCAUCAUGCUGUGCAGGGGACAGUAAGAUGAAGAUCAAAGGCACUGUUGUGUUGAUGAAGAAGAAUGUCUUAGAAUUCAAUGACUUUCAUGCUUCGGUUCUUGAUCGUGGCCAUGAGUUGUUUGGCCAAGGAGUCUCUCUGCAAGUCAUUAGCGCUGCCAAAAGUGACCCUCCAGGUAUAUACAACAGUUCUUUCAUCAUUUUGUUGCUGAUUCAGUACUUCAUGCCUUUUCAAUCCCAAGAUGUUUUUCUUUUAUUGCUUGAUGAAGUUCAUUAAGAACACCUAGAGGGCUAGAAUAAGCACCCAGGAGAGGAAAUUCAUACAAAAAGCCAAAGGGGAGAGAGUAUAAGCCAAAGAGCAAGACAAGCUAGACAUGCAUGAAAAACACAAGAAAAACCUUAUCCUGCUCCCCAAGAUCAGGAUAUCAUCAUGAGAGGCGGCAGUACAUAAACAAAAGAAAAGUGAUGUAAGCUGCAAAUCAUGGCUCCUUUUGCCACAAGCCAGCUGAGCUUUAUACAAAUAGAGAAUAGGUCCAGGGGCUGUACGUAGAGCCAGAAGCCUGAACAACUAAACCUAGCUACCAAGCACCCCAAAAGACCACUCAACACCGAUCAGCAGCAGAUUAGUAUCCACAAGGGACACAAUCAAAUAAGAUUUGCAGCAGAAAAUUAAAGUUGGGAGGCUAGGGAAACCAGUAAAUUUGCUAGUGGGGAGAACAAAGAAUUUUAAAUUAGCAAGUAUAAACCCGACAGUGACAAGAUUAUUAAGUUAUGCUUGAUUCUCCAUAGUUGACCAUUUUCCAUGUGUGGUUUAUAGUCUUCCUUUCACACGUAUAUGCACCGUUUUAAUCAAUGUUACGGUCACUCGGUACAAGGCUGUGUCAUGAGUUGGAGAAUUUAACCUUAUCCUGUUCAGUGACCUGCUCCAAUACCCGUUAUAAUCAAGUUUGAUGCAUACAUCAUGGUAGGGACUAGGAACAUUAAGGCUGUGACAACUCUUCAUAGUCACUGCCAUGUUACUUUAUGAAAAUGCAUGAAACAAAUUCGAAGGCAGAAAUUGUUUUUUCCUAUGAUAUUUUUGCCUGUCAGGAAAACAUUAAAUAUAUAAGGAGGAUACUUUUGCCUGUCAUAGUUUUUAGAAAAAGUUAAUAUUUUUGCCUGUCAUAGUUUUUAGAAAAACAUUAAAUAUAUAAGGAGUUAGGUUGGGCGUGUUUUCUAUGAUUUUACUCUUAGGAGUGGUCACCUGUUCCUGGACCGUGUCUAAUGUUCAUAAUAUAAAAUAAAAUCUUUAAAUUAUUAGGGUAGUAUCAAUUUUUCACUAAAAUUAUUUUUUAUAUCAAAAUUUACCCCUAAAACUAUUUUAAUUUCUCAAUUAUGACUUUUAUAAGAAUUACUUAAUAGAAAGCAUUAAAUUUUCAAAUGAUGUCAUGUUCUUACAAAAGAAAAGUACAAUUUUGAUUGGAAACGUGGAUGGAAUGACUUCGGGUGCGUUUGGCACUGUUUUUUUUUAAAAAAUUAAUUAAUUUUUAUUUUAAAUUAAUAUGUUUUUGAUAUUUUUAAAUUAUUUUAAUGUGUUGAUUUCAAAAAUAAUUUUUUAAAAAUAAAAAUAUUAUUAAUAUAUUUUUUUAAAUAAAAAAUAUUUUUAAAAAUAACCAUGUUUUCAAACAUGUUUCAAAGCAGACAAAAACCAUUAAAUUAUGACUUUCUUCAAUCACCCAUCUUACCCUUGGGUCUCAUCUCACUGUCUCUCACAAGGUCAUGAUCACGACCCCUAAAAUGGUUGAUGUGGUAAGGCACGAAACCCACUACUGCUAACUUUUUGGACAUGUAUGGAUGAUCAUGUCGAGGACUAGGGGCAUAAAGAUUCUGACGUUAUUUAUACCUAAAUGCACUGUGCUUGGAGUAAAUUUCAAAAUCGAAAUGAGGCCAAACCAAGUCACGGGCAUCACCUCAAGUCAAAGGAAAUAUGGUUGGUGACAAGGACUUUCAAAGAGUAAUAAAUUUCUACGUAAAUUCUUUUAAUAUGCCUGUAAGUAUGAUCAUUCUUAUUACAUCAUAAUUCUUUCUUGUUACUCCAUGAUCUGUGGGAUAGACUCACACGAUUGUUGCUAACAUGAGGCUGUAGGUUGUUAAUAUUCCUCUGCAAACUAAGCAGAGGUAGAAGGCACAGUUUGUUGCGAAAAUAUACAAGGGCAGCCUUGGGCACUGGUUUAGUAAAUAUAUCAGCAAUCUGAUUAGCAGAGGACACAUGUUUAGUGACAAGUAAUCCAAGUGCAACUUGUUCGCGUACAAAAUGGUAAUCCAACUCAAUGUGUUUACUCCGAGCGUGAAAGACAGGAUUGAUGGUCAUGUAUAGAGCACUGAUAUUAUCGCAGUAGAGAAUUGGUGGAUGUGAUAGAGAUAUGCGAAGAUCUUUAAAGAUGUAUGUGAGCCACGUAAGUUCAGCAGUAGUAUUAGUCAUAGCUCGAUAUUUAGCUUCGGUACUGGAUCGAGAGAUUGUGUGUUGUUUUUUUGAACACCAGGAAAUGAUAUUGGUGCCAAGAAAGGUGCAGUAACCGGUGGUAGAUCUUCGUGUUGUAGGGCAGCCAGCCCAAUCCACAUCUGAGAAGGCAUGCAAUUCAAGAGUUGUAUUGGAAGAGAGACGUAGACCAGUAGCUAUUGUUCCUUUGAGGUCUCGAAGGAUGCGCUAAACCAGUUUCAAGUGGGCAAUUGUAGGAUUGUGCAUGAAUUGUGAAACAUAGUUGACACUGUAGGAUAGAUCGGGUCCAUAAGUGUGAGGUAUUGGAGAGCACCAAUAAUCCUACGAAACUGGGAUCAGCAAUGGAGGUAGUAUCUGCAUUUAUUUUGAAUUUGACUUUCAAAGGCGUGCUCAUGGGUUUGCAAUGAAGCAUACUAGAGCGGUCAUGGAUGGUAAGUGCAUAGUGUGACUGAGACAAAUAUAGUCCAAGGCAAAGGUAGAUCUAAAUUAACCCAGGAGUUGAUUACUGAUUCAAUAAUCUUAACUUCUUUCUGAAUCGUACCUGAAGCUUGAGUCAAUCAUUACAGCUAUAUAUAUUUUACCCAAUCCCCUUCAUCUCUCUAUCUACAUUGAAAUAUAUCUUUUUCUUAUUGUUUUUGUAUAAUUCUUGGACCUGCUAUUAUUUUAUAUUGUCAACAUGACCAUAUUUAUUCAUAGGUUUACCCAUUCCAACUAAUCUUUUUCUUUAUUACAUCCUCGUGUGCAUAUAAGUUAUUACACCUUGCUAAUAAUAUAUUGGUGUUAUACCAUGUCCACUACCAGAAAAUUGUCUGAGUCUAUCCCACAAAUCAUGAAGUGACAAGAAAGAAUUAUGAAGUAAUAAGGAUGAUUAUACUCACAUGUAUAUCAAAGGAAAUAUUGUUGGUGAUAAGGACUUUCCAAGAGUAACAAAUUCCUACGUAAAUGAUAAUUCAACAGCUAAAUACAGAGGGAAAUUAUCAAGUGUAGCUGUCAAUUAUUAUCUUUUUAUCAAAACGAUGUCUUUUGUUUUUUUUUUACAUUUCUUAGAGUUUGAUGCGGUCAGAUCUAUUGAGUUUGAUCAGGAUUAAUGUAGAUUGGCUUGAAAAAAUGUUGGAUCAUCAUGGCUAAUCAUAAUUAACGUAGCCCAUCAUUUGUAAUUAUAACAACAGUAAAUGGACCUGCAAUUUCCUGAGAUUAUACUGUAAUUAGCUAUCUAAAGUGGAAUUUGGUGCCUUUUGUAGAGAAUGAUUUGAAAGGGAAGCUAGGAGAGCCUGCAUAUUUGGAAGAAUGGAUUACUACCAUCACUUCCUUAACCGCCGGCGAGUCGGCUUUCAAGGUCACCUUUGACUGGGAUGAGGAGAUUGGAGUUCCAGGGGCAUUUCUGAUAAGAAACAAACAUCACAGUGAAUUCUACCUCAAGACUGUCACACUUGAAGAUGUUCCUGGCCAAGGCCGAGUCCACUUUGUUUGCAACUCGUGGAUUUAUCCUACGAAAUGUUACAAUUAUGAUCGUGUUUUCUUCACUAACCAGGUAAUUAUGCAACCAUAGAAAGCUGAAGGUAGUUGUAAAUGUUUUCCUGAGCAAACAAAUCCUGAUACAUUUGUAUAGAAUUAUCUGCCGCACGAGACACCUGCACCGCUACGUAAAUACAGGGAAGAAGAACUGGUUAAAUUGAGAGGAGAUGGAAAAGGAGAGCUUAAGGAAUGGGACCGCGUUUACGACUAUGCUUACUACAAUGAUUUGGGAGAUCCUGACAAGGGUGCAAAGUAUGUCCGCCCUGUUCUUGGUGGAUCUUCUGAGUACCCUUAUCCUCGUAGGGGCAGAACUGGCCGAGCACCAGCAAAAUCAGGUCAUUACCUGUUGAGCGUCAUCUCGCAUUCAUGUUAUCAUCAAUGGUUUGUGAUUUUAUUUUUUGUUCACACUCUUACAAUUUCCGUGAUCUAAACAGAUCCCAACACUGAGAGCAGGCUGCCACUUCUCAUGAGCUUAAACAUAUAUGUUCCAAGAGAUGAACGAUUCGGUCACCUGAAGUUGGCUGACUUCCUUGCUUAUGCACUGAAAUCCGUCGCUCAAUUUAUUAAGCCUGAACUGGAAGCUUUACGUGACAGCACCCCUAAUGAGUUUGACUCCUUUGCUGCUGUACUGGAUCUCUAUGAGGGAGGGUUUAAGCUGCCUGAUGGUCCCCUACUAGAAAAUCUUAAGAAAAACAUUCCCGUGGAGAUGCUCAAGGAAAUUAUUCGAACUGAUGGAGAAGGCCUUUUCAGAUUUCCAAAGCCUCAAGUGAUUCAAGGUUUGAACUAAGGCAUUUAACUCUGUGCCUGUGCUGUUCUUAGACUGUCACUUUCUCUUUUUCAGCAACUUAAUUGCGAUCUAUUAAUUACACAGAGAGCAAUUCUGCUUGGAGGACGGAUGAAGAAUUCGGUAGAGAAAUGCUGUCUGGAGUAAACCCUGUUAUCAUCCGUCGUCUUGAGGUACACUGAAGCUGCAACAAGUUUUUCUUUCUGCAAAAUUUAUAUUUUUUGUUUUUCUUGUGUCUAAGAACAAAUUAUUGCAGGAAUUCCCUCCCAAAAGCAAGCUAGACAGCAAACUUUAUGGUGAUCAAAACAGCACCAUAACUGAGGAGCACAUCAAGGAUAGUCUGGAUGGACUGUCCAUAGAUGAGGUAAGCUAUCUCUCGAUUGGUUUCUUCGACAAUUAUGUUUAGAAUCGGAUCUGUAAACGCUUCACGGAUGUAAUUGAUGAAUUUAAUCUUCCCAAAAGACAUGUUGUAGCUGAAACACUUUGCUUCUGAAUAGGCGAUCGAGAAGAACAGGAUGUUCAUAUUAGAUCACCAUGACGCAUUGAUGCCAUACCUGAGGAGGAUAAACACUACUACCACGAAGACUUAUGCAUCAAGGACUCUGCUUUUCUUGAAAGAUGACGGGACUUUGAAGCCUCUUGUAAUUGAGUUAAGCUUGCCCCAUGAAGAAGGAGAUGAAUUUGGAGCCAUUAGCAAAGUCUACACCCCAGCUGAACAUGGCGUUGAAGGCUCCAUUUGGGAUCUGGCUAAAGCUUAUGUGGCUGUUAACGACUCCGGUUACCAUCAGCUUAUUAGCCAUUUCUUGAACACUCAUGCUGUGAGUGAGCCAUUUGUGAUUGCAACAAAUAGACAACUCAGCGUGCUUCACCCAAUCUAUAAACUUUUGGAACCUCACUUCCGUGACACAAUGAACAUCAAUGCGCUCGCUAGGCAGACGCUCAUCAAUGCUGGUGGAAUCCUGGAAUCAACGGUUUAUCCUGCAAAGUAUGCCAUGGAAAUGUCAUCAGUAAUUUACAAAAACUGGAAUUUCACAGAGCAAGCACUUCCUGAAGACCUGAAGAAGAGGUAAGCCUUAGUUUACUCGUAAAGGCUAAUUCAUAGUUGUUCAUAAUUAAUUUGCUAGAAUCUUAGAACUUGAAAUUAAAAAAACCACAGAGAAAUGCGUUGGGAACUUAGACUUUGGUUAAUUCUGUGAUGAUGCUGUAUUUCAUUUCAAUGACAUGUGCUACCUUGUUUACUCAGAGGAGUGGCAGUGGAGGAUCCAAAGUCUCCACAUGGUGUUCGCCUGCUGAUAGAAGACUAUCCAUACGCUGUUGAUGGGCUAGAGAUAUGGUCAGCGAUCAAAGAAUGGGUCAGAGACUAUUGCUCUUUCUACUACAAGAAUGAUGAGAUGAUUCGAAAGGAUUCUGAACUACAAUCAUGGUGGAAGGAAGUGAGAGAGGAAGGGCAUGGUGACCUGAAAGAUGCACCCUGGUGGCCUAAGAUGCUGACUCGAGAAGAGCUAAUAGACUCAUGCACCAUAAUCAUAUGGGUGGCGUCAGCCCUCCAUGCAGCUGUCAAUUUUGGUCAGUACCCUUAUGCAGGCUACCUUCCCAAUCGUCCAACCGUAAGCCGAAGGUUCAUGCCCGAGGAAGGUUCUCCUGACUAUAAGGAGCUCAAGUCGAACCCUGAUAAGGCUUUCUUGAAAACAAUCACUGCACAGUUGCAAACACUUCUUGGAAUUUCCCUCAUAGAAAUUCUGUCAAGGCAUUCCUCAGAUGAGGUGUAUCUUGGACAGAGAGACACUCAUGAAUGGACAGCAGACAAGAAACCAUUAGAGGCGUUUGAGAAAUUUGGAAAGAAACUGGCAGAAAUUGAGGACAAAAUGUUAUACAUGAACAAAGCUGGGAAAUGGAAGAAUCGGGUCGGUCCAGUCGAGGUGCCAUACACUUUGUUGGUUCCUACCAGUGAAGGUGGACUCACUGGAAGGGGAAUUCCUAACAGCGUCUCAAUCUAAAUCUUCUCCAUAAGACUAUUUAUUCUAUUCUUACUCAUUUGUCGGUAUGAAAGCAGCAACUGAUUCUUGUUAGCAUCUAAGGCACAUAUGUCCUGAUGUAAUAAACUCUAUAAAUAAUGCAGAAUAAAAGUUGUUCUUUUUUGUCAUUUGAUUGGAGUUGAAUUCACUUAAACAAAAACAUUGUACUUGCUGAUGGGCUAAUUAGCUGACCAAGCAGAGUUUAAAGGGAACUUCCAUUUCUUGAUUUAAGCGCUCAAAAUGCUGACACAUUUUCUCUUCCUAAGACAGGAACUACAAUUAGAAGCGGAUAAUUUCCCUUGUAAUGAUGAAAACUUGUCCUUGUUACUGUUCUAACGUUUUUCCAUAGCUUAACCUGUUAGCUAGACUCUCCAUUGCAAAAGAGACUCUUGAAAUCAGAUCCCCCCUCCUUUAACUUGUUGAAUGAUGCAUGAAAUGCAUGGACAAUUGUUCUCUUCAUAAAGCCUUGUAAGGCCUGCUUGCAUUUUAAUCAGCAGAAGCAGAAGGUACUGAACGACAUACAUUUACUCAAUUAUAAAUGUUCUGACCAAGUACAUCCCAGUCCUUUCCCUGCCAGGCUAGCCUGGGGAAGGGAGAAAUUUUACAGUCUGAGCUUCCUAUCACAUUAACUUACUCCUGAGGAAACGUUUCAGGUGUGCUUGUAUUUUUAUCAAGAAGCAGCUACUCCUGAGUUGCUUUCUAUGCUAUUAAUUUGCUCCUGAUAAGAGCCAACAUUUCCUUAUUACUGUACUUAUCACUUAGGGUUCAUACCAUUAGGGCUAACAGGAGCGAGACAUAUAUUUUCUUAAGUUCAAACACCAUCUGUGCCUUGAUCUGCCAGGCAUGAAUUCAUCACUUACAAAGUAAAUAUUAAUUUUACUUCCUGCAACAUAAGCGAAUUUCUAGAGUUUGUGAGAAUUAAAACAUUAAUCCUCUGCUUACUUAAACUAUGCAUGUGAUCUGACAUGCAUAUUUCUUGUUAUUGUGCUCAUUGUUUAACAUUUUGUAAAGGAAUUGGAGUAAUUCAACAAGAAAAUCAAUUAAUAGAUACGCAGACAGAUUCAAAAGUUCUUAUGUUGACUCAAAAGACAAAUUUGUAAAAAACUUUCUUCAGCAUCAUACUUUUUAAUGGAGUUCUCCCUCUCCCUUUCUUCUUUGUAAGUUGUGAACGGAUUUUUGUGUGAGAGAGCUCAUUCAUUAAGGAAACCAUUGAUCCUUUUCUAAUGUAGUAAAUAGUCUUCUACAUAUUAAUUCUGUACUUUCCUCUAACUUGCUUAAUCUGACGAGGUUGAUACAAGCCUAUCUCAAGUCAGUUUUGUUUUCUAUAUAUAUUUAACUCCGCCAAUCCAUGACCCGAGCUUCGGGCUUAAUGUGAUGAUAACUAGGCAUAAAAGAAGUAAAUAAUGGCCGGUAAGUCUUAGUCUACUCGCAAAUUAAAGUCUGAUUCGAAGCUGUGUGAACCUCCUCUGUCUUAAUUUGUCCUUGAUUGCUUCCUUCAUUAAUUGUCUCAAUGCAGGGUCUUCAUCAAAUUGAAUUUGAUAUGAUGAAAAUUAUCAUAUUUGAUAUCUUCAAAAUAAAAAAAUAAAAAAGCACAUGUCAUACAUGUGGACUUGUAGUACCUGUCCUUGUAAGUAGUAGGCCAGUCUUCACAAGUCCAGUAAAAAGACUAGCAACAGGGCAAAUUCAAUAUGAAAGAGAGACUUUAACAAAACUCAUCUUUUUUCCAAGGAAAUGCAAUGUGGCAAGUGAAGCUUCUCAGUCUUUACCACGUAUAUAUCCCCUCUCUAUAAAGACCUUCUCCACUCACCUUAGGUGGCAUCACAAGCCAAGCUUUAGUAGAUUCUUUUUGUAGCCCAAGAAGAGAGCAACCAGGCAAGAGGGAAAGAAAUGUUUCAGAACAUUGUUACUGCUAUCGCAUCAUGCUGUGCAGGGGACAGUAAGAUGAAGAUCAAAGGCACUGUUGUGUUGAUGAAGAAGAAUGUCUUAGAAUUCAAUGACUUUCAUGCUUCGGUUCUUGAUCGUGGCCAUGAGUUGUUAGGCCAAGGAGUCUCUCUGCAAGUCAUUAGCGCUGCUAAAAGUGACCCUCCAGGUAUAUAUACAACAGUUCUUUCAUCAUUUUGUUGCUGGUUCAGUGCUUCAUGCAUGCCUUUUCAAUCCCAUGAUGUUUUUCUUUUGUUGCUCGAUGAAGUUCAUUAAGAACACCUAGAGGGCUAGCUAGAAUAAGCACCCAAGAGAGGAAAUUCAUACACAAAGCCAAAGGGGAGAGAGUAUAAGCCAAAGAACAAGACAAGCUAGACAUACAUGAAAAACACAAGAGAAACCUUAUCCUGCUCCCCAAGAUCAGGAUAUCAUCUUGAGAUGCGGCAGUCCAUAAACAAAAGAAAAGGAUGUAGGCUGCAAAUCAUGGCUCAUUUUUCCACAAGCCAGCUGAGCUUUAUACAAAUAGAGAAUAGGGUCCAGGGGCUGUAGAGCCAGAAGCCUGUACAACUAAACCUAGCUACCAGGCACCCCAAAAGACCACUCAACACCGAUCAGCAGCAGAUUAGUAUCCACAAGGGACACAAUCAAAUAAAUUUUGCAGCAGAAAAUUAAAGUUGGGAGACUGGGGAUACCAGUUGAAAGAUUAAACAAAUAUAUGCUGACAGAAGAUGAAGAAAUUUAUUCUCUGCAUUCACAAUAAUGUUUUACAGUGUACAUAUAUAUAUGCGUACAACUUGAAAAUAGGAUAAUUGCAGGUAUUUGAAUUUUAAACUAUAACAGAUUAUUUUUAUUCAUCUUCUUCCUCUAUCUUCCUCUGAUCUUUCUCCUAUGCUUGAUUCUGUUCCUAAUUUUGUUGAGGUUGUUAUGCUAUUCAAUACUCUAACACCCCUUCUCAAACUGUGGGGAAGAAGACAGACACACAGUUUGUCUCUUAGAAAGCAAUACCGAUUUGCAGUAUGGCUUUUUGUAAAGACAUCGGCAAUUUGGUUGUGUUGAGGUAUGCUGAAUUUGAAUAGCAUGAUUAACCACCUUCUCCUUAACGAAAUAGUAGUCAAUUUUGAUGUGUUUCGUGCGUGAAUGAAAGACAGGAUUAGAAGCUAAUGCAAUAGCACUGACAUUGUCACACCAUAAGCUUGGGGCAGUAGACAACGUUAUAAUUGAUAUGUAAUUCUUGAAGAAGCAUGCGAAGCCAGUACAGUUCAGCAGUUGUAUGAGCCAUGCUUCUAUAUUCAGCCUCUGUGCUAGAUCGAGAGACAACACUCUGCUUUUUGCUGCACCAAGAUAUAAGAUUAGUGCCAAGAAACACACCAUAACCAGUGGUGCUCCGCCUAUUAUCAGGAUUGCCUGCCCAAUCAGAGUCACAGUAGGCAUGCAUUGUGAUUGUCCCUGGAGUGUAAAGAAGACCAAACUCGAUAGUACCUUUUAGAUAGCGUAAGACAUGCUUGACAGCUAUCCAGUGCAGUUCACGCGGAAAAUGCAUAAACUGGCAUAAUUGGUUUACUGAGUAGGAAAUAUCUGGUCUUGUGAUUGUGCAGUAUUGAAGAGCCCCUACAACUCGUCGAUAUUCAGUUGGAUUUUCUAACAGUUCACCAGCAGUAGAUGGGAGUUUAGAGCCAGAGGAUGAUGGACAACGGAGAGGCCUUGCACCAAGCAUGUAGGUACUGUUGAGCAAAUCAGUGAUAUACUUAGUCUGUCGCAGAUGUAAACCAGCUUGGUUCCUAAGUGCUUCAACACCAAGAAAGUAGCUCAAUUCACCCAAGUCUUUAAUUGGAAACACAUUCUGUAGUUGAUCAAUAAAAUAAUGAACUGCUUGACGUCGGAUCCUGUGAUUAUUAUAUCAUCAACGUAUACUAACACAAAAACACGUAAAGUGUCAGAAUUGUAUGUAAACAAUGAAUAAUCCAUCUUGGAUUCUAAAAAACCAAAGUCAAUCAGUUGUUGUGAGAGACGUUUGAACCAAGCUCGAGGAGCUUGUUUGAGGCCAUAAAUAGACUUGUGUAGAUAGCAUACAUGAUUAGGAAAGGUUUGAUCUUCAUAACCUUUUGGUUGUUUCAUAUAUACUUCUUCAUCUAGAAUACCAUGCAGAAAGGCAUUGGAAACAUCCAAUUGCCGAAUAUUCCAUUUGAACGAGACUACAAGAGAGAGGAUUGACCUGAUGGUAGUAGGCUUCACUACUGGGGAAAAAGUAUCAAAGUAAUCAAUACAAGGAAUUUGUUCAAACCCCUUAGCUACAAGUCUUGCUUUGUAGCGAUCAAUACUGCCAUCAAGAUGUCUUUUAAGCUUAUACACCCAUUUAUUUCUGACAACAUGUGUAUGUAAAGGUCUAGGACAGAGAGACCAUGUGUUAUUUGCCAGUAACGCAUUAAAUUCACGUCGCAUUGCUACUUUCCAAUGUCGAUUGGAUACUGCCUUUGUGAAAUCAGAUUCAAUGACUAUACUGGAUAAAACUCGUAGAGGAUGUCGAGUAGAAUAAAAAGUUUUAAAACCAGGAAACUCUUUAGGCUUAAGACUUCCUGUUUUGGAUCUGGUAACCAUCUGUCUAGGCAGUACUGGGGACAUUGCAGGAGAGGAACUAGGAUCAGUUAACGACACAUGAUUUGUGGAAGAAGGCAGUACUGGGGAAGGCAGUAUUGGGGACAUGGCAGGACAGGAACUAGGAUCAGAUAAUGACACAUGAUUUGUGGAAGAAGGUGUAGGAAUUGGAGUUUCAAUUGCAGAAGGUUGCAAGGGUGGACUUUCAGUGUAAGGAGGACUUUCGGUAGCAGAAGAGUUUGUUGGUAUAACAGGUGGAGUAAAAUUGAAAUGUUGUGCAUGAGAAAUUAAAGGAACUAUAUUGAAAGAAAGAGUAGUACCUGAAGACUGGUUGCUCGCAGGAGUGGUAGAAGAGUGACUUUUAUCCAAGUGAGGGAAAAUGUCUUCAUCAAAAACAACAUGCCUGGAGAUAAACACCCUACCUGUAGCAAAAUCUAAACAACGAUAACCUUUUUGUUGAUUUGAGUACCCUAAGAAAAUACAUUGCUUGCUUCUGAAAGCUAACUUAUGUUUUUCAUAUGGUCUGCGAUAAGGAUAGCAUGCACAACCAAAUGUGCGCAAAUCAGAGUAUCGCGGCAUAGUUUUGUGGAGUACAAAGUAUGGUGUUAUAUUAUUAAGGACUUUUGUUGGUAAACGAUUUAUCAGGUAUACUGAAGUUAAGAAGGCAUCUACCCAAUAACAGUUUGGAAGGCAGGCUUGUGCUAAUAGGGUCAAUCCUAUUUCUUGAAUAUGUCGAUGUUUACGUUCAACAAUUCCAUUUUGUAGGGAUGUAUAGGGACAUGUCAAGCGAUGAAAUAUUCCAUGUUCAGCUAAAAAAUUUUGAAACUCUAUUGAUAAGUAUUCUCCACCAUUAUCAGAUUAUAGUUGUUGAAUUGUGCAGGAGAAUAGAUUUUCAACAAAAACUUUAUAUUGUUGAAAUAUGGAAAAGACAUCACUUUUGAAACGUAUAGGAUACAUCCAUGUAAAACGAAUGAAAUCAUCAAUGAAUAAAACGUAAUAUCGAUAUCCCCCUGCUGAAGGAACAUGAGAUAUCCAGACAUCAAUGUGAAUCAAGGCUAAAGGUCUAGCUGAUUGUCUUGGAGAAUCACUAAAAGGUAGCUUUUUAGCUUUCCCUAACUGGCAGGAAGAACAAACACUAGGCUUGCUAGGUGAAUCUUUUAUUUGCAGGAAAGAAGAUAAAUAGUUUAGAGUGGAGUUAGAAGGAUGACCAAGGCAUUUAUACCAUUGAUCCCUAGUGGCUUUUAUCCCUAAUUUAGAAGUAAAACAACGAAAUUUGUUGGUGCAACUCUUAUUCCCAUUGAUUGGAUAAAGGCCAUUCUCAACCAGCCCUUGGAGCAGCAGUCGUCUGGUCUUGUUUUCCUUGACAAAAAAAGUAGUUCCAGUAAGUAUGAAGUAACAAUUACUGUCUAGGCAGAAUUGAUUAAUGGACAACAGAUUAGAUGCAGCUUGAGGACAAUACAAGACAUUAUUCAGACGAAAAGAAUUAUGUGAUGUAUUUAACAAGGAGGAACCAGUGUUUUGAAUCAUCAAACCUGAACCAUUGCCUACUUGGACAGUAUCCAUACCAUCAUAAGGCUACAGAGUUGUUAAAUCUGCUGCAUUAGCAGUAAUGUGAGCAUUAGCCCCACUAUCAGUAUACCAAGUUUGUUGCUCAGAAGUAUUAUUGGCUUCAGCAACCAUUGCUGACAAUUCAGAAGGAGGUGGUCUGCCUUGGAAAGAAAAGUUAAACCGCUGAAAACAAUCCAACGCAGCGUGACCAUAUUUGUCACAGAUUUGACAUUGUGGUCUGUCAUAUAAAGGUACAUGAUCACUAUGAGGCUAAAUUCUGGAAGUGCCUCGAGAUUGUGGUAAUGCAGAAGUUUGCUGGAAUUUAGCAGGAAUAGUUGCAAGUUUCCUUUUUGGAUAAUGAGAUGUUUUUGCAGCAAAGGCAAAACUACGAGUUUGGAUUGUAGUGGAAGCUUCAAGUAAUGUUUCAAAACUCAGAAGUUCAGAUUGAAAAUCAUCCAGAGACAGAUCCUUAUCUCUGCAAGCAAAAUUAUAGGACGUGAUAAAGGGUGUAUAGGUGCAUGGGACGAAGUCCUCCAAUUAAAAAUGUAAUGAAGUCUUGAUCAUCUACAGGUUUGCCUACAGCAGCAAGUUGGUCAGCCAACUGUUUAGCAUCUUCAAGAAAUGCAGAACAUGGUCGAUUGCCUUGAACAAGAGUCUGAAGUUGUUUCUUAAGAAGAGCAAUGCGGGAUCUUGAGGUAGAUGAGAAUCUUGCCUGAAGAGAGUCCCAAACUUGUUUGGAAGUCUUUAGAUUAAAGACAGUAAAAACUAACUUCUUAGAAAUGGAAGCUAGCAGCCAGCUGAGAACACAAUUAUCCUUUUUGAACCAAAUUGUGUAGGCUGGAUUAGAAUAAUUAUCUGGAAAAGUUCUGGUUGGUGGCUCUUCAGAACCAUCAAUCAUACCAUCCAGAUCAUGACUGCGAAGAAAAACUUGAAAUUGAACACUUCAUGGCAGAUAAUUAUGUCCUUCAAGUCUCUGGCUGACUGGUUGUGAAUUGAAUUGAAUUUUUUAGGUGAAGAGAACAGAGGAAGGAUUGUGGAAUCAGACGAAGUCAUGGUUGAGAUGAAGAAAUAGAGAAAGAGUAUAUUUGUGUUUAAUGUGCGGAAGCUGUGGUAGAUCAGGUGUUAACUGAUACCAUGAAAGAUUAAACAAAUAUAUGCUGACAGAAGAUGAAUAAAUUUAUUCUCUGCAUUCACAAUAAUGUUUUACAGUGUACAGUGUACAUAUAUAUAUGCGUACAACUUGAAAAUACGAUAGGUGCAGGUAUUUAAAUUUUAAACUAUUACAUAUUAUCUUUAUUCAUCUUCUUCUGAUCUUCCUCUAUCUUUUUCUGAUCUUUCUCCUAUGCUUGAUUCUAUUCCUGAUUUAUUUAAGGUUGUUAUGCUAUUCAAUACUCUAACAUCAGUAAAUUUGCUAGUGGGGAUAACAAAGAAUUUUAAAUUAGCAGGUUUAAACCCUAUGCUUGAUUCUCCAUAGUUGACCAUUUUCCAUGUGUGAACUAUAGUCUUCUUUUCACACGUAUAUGCACCGUUAUAAUUAAUGAUAUUAAACUGGCCCUGUACGGUCACUCGGUACAAGGCUGUGUCAUGAGUCGGAGAAUUUAACCUUAUCCUAUUCAGUGACCUGCUCCAAGACCCGUUUCAUGAGUUAGAACAAUUUAAUUUUUAUUAUUAAAAUAAUAUAAAUUAUAUUUGUACAUCUUACUUAAUAAUUGUUUAAGCUAUUGAGUUGAGGUAAUUUUCUGACAUGAUAAUUCAAAAUAUUAUUGUUAUUAUUUUUAAAUUCAAACAAUGUUAUUUAAAAAUAAAAUAAAAAAAUAAAAUUGAGUUUUAACGGGUUGACUCCUAUCAUAACUAUAGACCAGCUUUGGUCGGGCGGGACACCUGUCAGGAGGAGCCGGGCUGGGUAUAAUGUACAUGGUUAGAAGUAAAGCAGGAAAAAAUGUAGCUUUUUCAUGGAAGUCAGAUGAGAGGAACCAAGUAUGAGUUCAUUUUCUGCUACUUUUUCAUGUUUAUGCAUACAUCAUGGUAGGGACUAGGAACAUUAAGGCUGUGACAACUCUUCAUAGUCACUGCUUGUUACUUUAUGAGAGUGCAUGAAACAAAUUUGAAGGCAGAAAUUGUUUUUUCCUAUGAUAUUUUUGCCUGUCAUAGUUUAUACGAAAACAUUAAAUAUAUAAGGAGGAUAUUUUUGCCCGUCAUAGCUUUUAGACAAGAAGGAUAUUUUUGCUGGGGAUCUCGAGCUGUGCGUGUUUUCAUAUGAUUUAACUUUUAAGAGGAUGUUUGGAAGUGUGAUAGCCAUUGUUUUUUAAAAUGUUUAUUAUUUUAAAAUAUAUUAAAAUAAUAUUUUUUUUAUUUUUUAAAAAUUAUUGUUUACAUCAUAACAUCAAAAUGAUAUGAAAAUAUAAAAAAUAUAUUAAUAAAAAUAUAAAAAAAAAUUGAACUUUUUUUAUAAGCGCUUUCAAAACAUAAUGCGAAACACUGCAUUAGGAGUAGUCACCUGCUUCUGGACGGUCUCUAGAGCGUGUUUGGUAGUGUGGUUGCGGGUGCUUUUCAAAUAGCUUUUCGUGCCGAAAUACAUGCCAAUGAUGUUUUUUCAUUUUUUAAAAAUCAUUUUUGACAUCAGCACAUCAAAACGAUCCAAAAAGUACAAACCGCACUCAAUUUUAGUAAAAAAAAAAAUUCAAAAUUUGAUGAAACGCAGUUACAAACACAAUGCCAAACGGUGUCUAAGAGUAUGUUAAUGAUAUAAAAAAAAUCCUCAAACUUAGUAUAAUUAUUUUCUAUAUCAAUAUUUACCCCUAAAACUAAUUUAAUUUCUCAAUUAUGACUUUUAUAAGAAUUACUUAAUAGAAAGCAUUAAAUUUUCAAAUGAUGUCAUGUUUUUACAAAGGAAAAGUACAAUUUUGAUUGGAAACGUGGAUGAAAUGUCUUAAGAGAUUGAGAUUGAGAUUUUAUGUAUAGUUGGAGGGCAUUUGUGAAGUUUUCCCUAGCUUGCAUGGUGUCCAUGAUGGCCAUAUUUAUUCCUAUGUGGACCCAUUCCACCUCAUUUCUUAUCCCAUGGCCUCCAUGCUCAUGCUUAUCAUUUGAUUUAUCAAAUAGUUGGUUAAUGCAGAGAUCUUGUUAGAUUUUAUGAGAUAUGGACUUGCUUUACGUACUGUCUGUUAAAUGGAGAUAACAAAAGUCUUCUUAAUUGAACAAUUAUGCCUGUGAGUGUUCAAAUUAAAGGAGGCACGGAAACUAGUAUUCUUCUUGCAAUUUAAUUCCCAAAGUUAACUACGACUACAACCGUCCCUAGUUUUUCUAUUUCGAUUGCAAUAAAACAAGUAAAAAGUAGAGGAACAAAAUAAAUUAGUAGCUUCAUUAAUUUCCCUUUUAAUUCAAAAUCACUCAUGAUUAUCUAAGAACACGUACUUUCAUACGUACACAUGGAUCCUUCAGUUGAGUUCUAAGAAGUCAUCUGGACAACGUAAUAUUAUAUCUGAGCACAAAGUUUUGAUUUGCCUUUCUAAGAACAUAUAAAGCAAAUACUUGUGUUUGUGAAACUUGACAAGCUUAUUUAUAAAAUAAGGUGUUGGUAUAAUUAUUCUUCAUUGCCUUGGACAAAAUGAUUAAUUUGUCACAAUUCAAUGAACCAAAUUGCACUGGAUUGGUAUACUUUCCAUAUGAUGUCAUGGGAAUUUCAAUUCCUAUGAUUAGGCAUGGUUUAAUACAACUGGCUGGAUAAACAACUGCAAUUUACAACAUUAAUUUCUUUGAAAUUAAUUUGAUUUUUCUUCUCAUUUGUUUCUGAUAAGGUUAUUUUGAUCAUCUUAUCCAAUAAACAAUUUCCACAAGUUUCAUGUUAUUCAUAAUCAAAACGAUCAAAAUAUCAUUCAUCAUCUAACUUAGCUAUUCUAGUUUCAUUAAUAUGAUAUAGUCUACAAUGUUAUAAAUAAAAUAAUUAUUAAUUAUUUAACUAAAAAAUAUUUAAAAAAUAGAAGCCACCGCAACACCAAAUGAAUAUGUACAAUGACACACGGGAAUGACCUAAUAUUUCUUUUUAGAUUAACGUGGAUAUUCGGGUCAACUUGCGCGAACCUCGAUUAAUCCCACGAGCUUUGAAAUUAACAACCAUGUAAGUUUUCAGUGACUCUAAAGUUUACGAAACUCGAACUAAUCAUCUUUAAAAAACCACCCUAAAAUCUAACUACUAAAAGUACAUCCACCAUCUAAUAUUGAUGGAAGAGCGAUCUGUUAAUUCUACAAGCACAAGCUACCUCUGGAGCUGUUUCAAAUCAAAUUUCUUACCAUUAGAUAAGCAACGGCGUCAAAGUUUGGUGAAUGAAUUAAGCAUGCGUGAAAGAUGUCAUUGUUGAUUUUUCUAUUUUAUUUGUGUUUAUGAUUCUUUGACGUAUGGUUUGGCAGACUUAACUGGCAAUUACGUGAGUUAACGCAAACAUGCAUGCAUAUAUAUAUAUAUAUAUAUAUAUAUAUAUAUAUAUAUAUAUAUAUAUAUUGAACAUUCAACCUAAUUACGUGACACAUAUAUUUACCUUACCAUAGGAUUAGAAAAUUAUGUAUUUCACAAAAUGAAAUAAUGUAAUGUAAUUCUCAUAAAAUAAAAUAAAACUUGAUUUAAUCCUGAUAAAUAUAGUUUAAUUGAUCAGUCAUUGAAUUUACUUUCAAAGAUCAUCAGUUCGAGUCCCAUAAAUUUCAUGGUCAUUAAAGGUUUAUAUGGUUGUUAACUUUAGGAUGUCGAGAGAUUAGUCGAGAUGCACAUAAACUGACCUAAAUACUCACAAUUACAAAAUAAUAAAAACUUAAUUUUAAUUUCACCAACGAAACGUGCCAUGUUUAAUUUCUUGUUAUGUAAAAAUUAAAUAAAUAAAUUAGAGUUAUUGAAACUGGAAGAAAUCAUAAGCUACUGUGCAGGAAAAAAAUAAUUAAUAAAUGCAUUCCAAGCUGGAGAUAUGGUAAAGGAAAACAGGAAUUUAAUUCAACUUGGAAUAUAUUUAGAUCAGGAUGGUUUUUUUUUUUUUGGAUAGCAUCAUGGAAGAGUACAUGGUCAAGAUAAGAAUGCUUUUGUUUGAGAGAUCAAUUUCUCAACAUUGUUGUUUUAUUUCAAGUUUUACAAGCUAUUAGAAUAUAUAGUAAUAUUCUCUUGGUUUCUUCCUAAAGCAGCCAUGGAUAUGGUUCUUCAUUAUAUAAAACGUGAAAAGCAUAUGUAAAAUUGCUUCUACUAUUUUAUGUUGGUGAAGCACACCAGUACACGUAAAAAGAAGGAUAAAAAACAGGAAUGCUUGUAUGAAUUCCGAAAGGGCUGCUAUACAAGCCACCAAGAAUCCUACCAUUCUUCAUGGAACUUGGAACAAACAAUGUGAGAAGCAUAACUAUUAAUCCUGAUUGAGAGGUUGAUCCGGUGUAAAAUCAAUGUUACUGAUUAGACAAAUUAAUUUGAAUUUAUUUAUUUAUUUUUAAAUUUAAAACAACCCCUGAAUUAUAUAAAAAAAAUUAAUAAAUUUUAAUGUAAUCAACCGAGUCCUAGAUUAACCCAAAUAUUUUAGAUCAACUUCACUUAUUUUUUUAAAAAAAAUUAAUUUUAACUAGGUUUCAGAUCAACCUGAUGGAUUGAAUGGUUUAGUAACCCUCUACGAUUUGUCACUUGAUUGCUCCCUUCAACAAUUGAACAAUGACCUUUUUUAAAAAAAAAAAUUCUCCUUUGAAAUUAUUUUUUAUAUUUCCUCAAAUCAAACUGGAUUUGAUGCACAUAAUCUAAGUUAAUAUAAUUGAGAUCUUCAAAAUAAAAAAAGUCCAUGUGGGUGCGUGUGUAGUACAAGUCCUUGAAAGAAGUAGGUCAGUCUCCCUUGAAUAUAUCUAUCAGAAGACUAGCAAUAGGAUCAUAGCUAAAUCAUUAAAUGAAGAAGAAGACUUUUAUCAAAGUGAUUUUCAUUUUUCUUUAAAAAAGCAAGUGAACAGAACCUGCAAUGAAGCUUCCACAUGCGUAUAUUUCACUAUAAAUACCACCACACAAUCAUACCUUCCUCUCACAAUAAUUCCUAACACAAGCAAUUGUCUUUAUAUUCUUUGUUGACGCCAAGAGACGAAGCAAGCAAGAAAAAGAGAGAAAAAUGUUGCAUAGCAUUAUUGAUGCCAUUACAGGUGAUCAUAGUAAUGGUACUAAAAAGAUGGUGAAGAAAAUCAAAGGGACUGUUGUGCUGAUGAAGAAAAAUGUUCUGGACUUCAAUGAUUUCAAUGCAUCAGUUCUUGAUCGUGUUCAUGAGUUCUUAGGCCAAAGAGUCUCUCUGCAACUCGUUAGCGCUGUUAACAGUGAUCCCUCUGGUGAGUCGUUGAUAUAUAUUUCUUUAUUUUGUUGCUUUUUCAACCUCGAAAACCAUUUUUUGUGGGAUAAUUUGAGCCUGAACCUCUUCAGGAACCAUCUUCUUAUGCUUCAUUCUCUGUAGUUUACUAGUAUCCAUGCAUGGACGUACUUCACCUUGGAUGAAGUAAAGCAAGCAAAAUAUUUGUAGCGUAUCAAGGAAAUCAGAUAAGAGGAACCAAGAUCAUGUUCAUGAUCUGCUUGUUAAAGACUCAUCAAUUAAUUACUUCUUAAUGACUUGAUUAGGAAUGGAUCAUCACUUUUUAAUAUAUUGUUUGUGCUUGAAAAAAGUAGAAACUUGUGCAUAAACACCACAGGGAGCAUACAAGUUGAUUUGGUAAGGCACGAAACCCACUACUGCUACUUUUUGGACAUGUAUGGAUGAUCAUGUCGAGGACUAGGGGCAUAAAGAUUCUGACAUUACAUAUACCUAAAUGCAGUGUGCUUAGAGUAAAUUUCUAAAUCGAAAUGAGGCCAAACCAAGUCACGGGCAUCACCUCAAGUGGACCUUUUUUUUAUUUCGUUUAUAUAAUCUUUGGACCUGCUAAUAUUUCAUAAUUAGAUAUAAUUGCCUUUGUAGUAGAGGGGGCAUAAGGCUUAUCGAGGGACUUGAUUGGCUGCUCUUAAUUGUAGAAUUAUAGCUUGAUUUAAUUAUGAAGUAAGGGAUUACUCUAUUAAUUAGUUCUUAACCUGAAGAGAAACCUCAUGUUUUAUUUAUUAAUCAAGAUAAGGUAAAAAUAGUAUUUUCAAUACAUGAACAUAUGCAGAUGCCAUAUAGUAUUUGUCGUCUCAUCGAACUCCAUGCAUUAUUUGAUAGUGAUUUUGAGAAGCAUAAAUUCACUUACCUUUCAACAAACCGCAUGCCACAACCUAUACCUCGAAACGAAAUUUCAUUGCAAGUGAGAUAUUUUGUGUUGCAUGACUCUAUAUAUCCCACCAUAAUUGUCACAUCAUUUGUAAUUAUAAUAACAGUAAAUGGACCUGCAAUUUCCUGAGAUUAUACUGUAAUUAGCUAUCUAAAGUGGAUUUUGGUGCCUUUUGUAGAGAAUGAUUUGAAAGGGAAGCUAGGAGAGCCUGCAUAUUUGGAAGAAUGGAUUACCACCAUCACUUCCUUAACCGCCGGCGAGUCGGCUUUCAAGGUCACCUUUGACUGGGAUGAGGAGAUUGGAGUUCCAGGGGCAUUUCUGAUAAGAAACAAUCAUCACAGUGAAUUCUACCUCAAGACUGUCACACUUGAAGAUGUUCCUGGCCAAGGCCGAGUCCACUUUGUUUGCAACUCGUGGAUUUAUCC
rnacentral:lncRNA from 1 species